AAAAGCCUCAUUUUGGGGGGAAAAGGCUUCAUUUUGGAGGAAAAAGCCUCAUUUUGGUGGCAAAAGGCCAUUUUGGAGGAAACAAAACAACUUUUUUUGGGGAAAAAGUCUAAUUCUUUUGGUAAAAAGCCUCGUUUGGGGGGGAAGCCUCAUUUUUGGGUGAAAAAGCUACUUUUUUGGGGAGGGGAGGGAGAGGCCCAAUUAGGAGAGGGGAAGAUCAAUUUUGGGGGGAAAAAUGCUAGAUUUGGGGAAAAAAGACUCUUUAAGGAAAAAAAAGUAAUUCUUUUGGUAAAAAGCCUCAUAUUUAUAGAAAUAGCCCUAUUUUGGGGGAAAAAAAAAAGCCUAAAAAAGCCUCGCUUUGGGGGAAAAGGCUUCAUUUUGGAGGAAAAAGCCUCAUUUUGGGGGGAAAAGGCUUCAUUUUGGAGGAAAAAGCCUCAUUUUGGUGGCAAAAGGCCAUUUUGGAGGAAACAAAACAACUUUUUUUGGGGAAAAAGUCUAAUUCUUUUGGUAAAAAGCCUCGUUUGGGGGGGGAAAGUCUUUUUUUUUUUGGGAAAUGACUUCUUUGGGGGGGAAGUCCUCUUUUUUUGGGGCGAAGGCCUCUUUUUCGUUGGAAAGCCGCGUCGUUUUGGGGGAAAAUUCUCACUUUUUGGGAAAAAGCCUCAUUUUUGGGGCAAAAAAACCCCAAACAAAGCAACCUUCCUUUUCGGGGGCGAUCACAUGGGCCCCACGGCCCCCACAAGAGCCUCCUUGUCGGGGGUGGGGGGGCCGUGGCCCAGCCCGGGGGGGGCACAUCCCAAAAAACGGCAGCGGGCGA
rnacentral:lncRNA from 1 species